rnacentral:rRNA from 1 species
AGAGUUUGAUCCUGGCUCAGGAUGAACGCUGGCGGCGUGCUUAACACAUGCAAGUCGAACGAUGAUCCGGUGCUUGCGCCGGGGAUUAGUGGCGAACGGGUGAGUAACACGUGAGUAACCUGCCCUUGACUCUGGGAUAAGCCUGGGAAACUGGGUCUAAUACCGGAUAUGACUCCUCAUCGCAUGGUGGGGGGUGGAAAGCUUUUUGUGGUUUUGGAUGGACUCGCGGCCUAUCAGCUUGUUGGUGGGGUAAUGGCCUACCAAGGCGACGACGGGUAGCCGGCCUGAGAGGGUGACCGGCCACACUGGGACUGAGACACGGCCCAGACUCCUACGGGAGGCAGCAGUGGGGAAUAUUGCACAAUGGGCGAAAGCCUGAUGCAGCGACGCCGCGUGAGGGAUGACGGCCUUCGGGUUGUAAACCUCUUUCAGUAGGGAAGAAGCCCUCUUUGGGGGUGACGGUACUUACAGAAGAAGCGCCGGCUAACUACGUGCCAGCAGCCGCGGUAAUACGUAGGGCGCAAGCGUUAUCCGGAAUUAUUGGGCGUAAAGAGCUCGUAGGCGGUUUGUCGCGUCUGCUGUGAAAGACCGGGGCUCAACUCCGGUUCUGCAGUGGGUACGGGCAGACUAGAGUGCA